rnacentral:piRNA from 1 species
UGCAAAGAGGCAAAGGGGCUGGGUGUGUG